rnacentral:lncRNA from 1 species
AAGCGUUCAGAGUUCGGGGCCUCCGCGUAGUAGGCGCGCACAAGCAAAGAGGCGAAGUCGUCGCAGGGCAAUUUUCGCUUUUAACAAUGUCUGAUAAAGUCGUAUCCAAUUUACAAAAGAUUUUCAAUCGUUUAACAGAACAUUCGUGCGUACGACGCAGUUGUGAUUCGUCAGUGAAUACAAGUAACAUUAUUUACAAGGAAAAUAACUUUCGAGGAUCCCAGAGUCGAUGUUUCUAUAAAUAAUUAAAAAAGAAAAGAGCCGUAAUAAAAGCACAACAGGUAUCCUGUUCGCUUGUUUCACACUUGCACGAAGGCCCGGGGAAACUGUAAGAAACCUAGCCGACCGGGCAGUCACAUUUUUACUAAAUGCCAGCUUGGUGGGGUCAUCAGCACCUCAGAAAAACUGCUUCCCGCUCAGUGAUUGAUGGGCAAUCCGGUGCAUGGCUAAGCGGUUAUCCAUCCCAGUAUUGAAUUUCUUUGAGGCUGCUUCAUUUGGGUGAAUGAAUUCGUGCUGGCACUCUACAAACUAAAAUAAUUAUAUACAAAACACCCACAAUCGUCGUAACCGAAGAAAAUGUUUUUUGAGAAUGAGUUGCCAAGCUGCCGUGUACCUUAACAAUGAGGAACGUCGAUAGUUUCAGGCUGAAAAAAUUACAAAGUGCGCUCCAAAUGUGAAUAAAAAUGUGGCAAAAACUUCGCAGUCGCAUCUUUAAAUAGCUCGCAAAAAAAAAUCUGAAAAAGCAUAAAAAAGGAAUCUUCACGCAUGCAGGAUCCUCAAAGAACAAUUUUCAAAUUGCUUCCAACUUUUUUUCAAAAAAAAUAAACGAAAUAAAAUGUUAAUUGGAA